AGAAACUCAAAUGGACUGAUAGAGUGAAAGUUGCAAUCGGGGUUGCAAAGGCAUUGAAGUAUCUUCAUCAUUCUUGUAGCCCUUCAAUCAUUCAUAGAAACGUAAAAUCAUCCAAUAUUCUGCUCUCUGAUCACAGCCAACCACAAGUCAGUUCCCAUCUUGCUUUAGUUUUGUAUUUUUGCUCUCUAAGAUAUGUUAUGUAACUUCUCACAUUUUCAGUUAUCAAACUUUGGAGAAGCAAUGGUACGUCCAGCAGUUCAAGAGGACUCAACACAAGUUGAUAUCGGGAAGUUCAGUUACUUAGCCCCAGAGUACUUGAUGUUUGGAAAAGUAAACGAGAAAGUCGAUGUUUAUUCCUAUGGCGUCAUGCUUUUGGAACUCAUCACUGGCAAACUUGCAGUUCAGACAGAGCCGACUAACCGUAGAAGCUUAGUUUUCUGGGUAAGAAAACGAACAACUGAAUGGUUAGGGUAACUUCUAGUACAGCAUUUCCUUGUCUACUUCAUAUUUAUGAUAUUUUAUCAUGCUGAUUCACAGGCAAGGUCCCUACUAAGCUGUAACUUAGCAGAACAUUUAAUUGAUCCGUAUUUGAAGGAAGAUUAUAACCAUGAUGUGAUGGAAAUGAUGAUGAUUAUCGCCCGGCUCUGCCUCUUGCACUCGUCAUCGAGACGACCAACAAUGGAAACUGUAAGAAGUUUCUUUCCCUGCACUGAAAUUUCAGUAUGUCAGAGCUAACCUUGUGAUAGAACACAAUGCAGAUAGUGAAGCUAUUUGAAGAACCAGAGUACUUGAAGAAAAUGCAAAGGGGAAAAGAGGAUCUACUAACUGUGCUAACUCCCAAAGCUGAGAAGGGAUUGUGGAAAAAUGAAGAAUCAGCUCUGCAAGAUACAACCAAAACAGAACAGAACUAUGGAUUUUCUGAUAACUUAAAUGUCACAUGAUUAAGCAAAUUAUGAAUACUAACAUAUGAAUG
rnacentral:lncRNA from 1 species